UCACACAGUUGAUCCCUCAAAGGUGGGAAGC
rnacentral:piRNA from 1 species